CUCCUACGGGGCGCAGCAGUGGGGGAUAUUGCACAAUGGGGGGAACCCUGAUGCAGCGACGCCGCGUGGGUGAAGGAGCGUUUCGGCGCGUAAAGCCAUAUCGGCAGGGAAGAAGGAGGACGGUACCUGACUAAGAAGCCCCGGCUAACUACGUGCCAGCAGCCGCGGUAAUACGUAGGGGGCAAGCGUUAUCCGGAUUUACUGGGCGUAAAGGGGGCGCAGACGGCAGCGCAAGCCAGGAGUGAAAGCCCGGGGCCCAACCCCGGGGCUGCCGUUGAAACCGGAGCGCUAGAAUUACGCUGCCG
rnacentral:rRNA from 1 species